rnacentral:lncRNA from 1 species
CUUGAUCUUGCUCUUGGAUGAUCCCCUUAGAAUGACUAUGGGCGACAGGUCCCGUGUAGGUGUCGUUUGCAGCUGAAGAUUUGGAUGCAACUUUCUUUGAUGCCAUUAAUUUGUUUGUAGAUCUAGAUGACGAGAGAGAUAUGAAAGGUAGAGAUGGUCCCACUGGGCAUGCCAAUUUGUUCGCACGAGAUUUCCGAAGACAUUUAAUUCGUGGAUUUGAACUUAGUGUUGAUGUCGUAUUUUUGUUGAUUUGAUGUCAUGUGGUUCUAUCUCUACAAUUUGAUCCUCUGAUUCUCUCUCGACUGAAUGCCUACGCUUGAUUUGGAGGAAGCGGAGCACGUGAUGUUCUUGAAGUUGGAGUCUUGGAAGAAAGUUUGUAUCUUCAAAGGAGCUGAUCUUCGAGGGAAGUUGGAGUCUUGGAAGAAAUCUUGUAUCUUCAAAGAAGCUUCAAUCUUCGAGGAUGGUCGACUUCAGGAGUUAGGGAGUCUUCUAGCUUUUAGGAGAAUUCUCUCUAGACCUUCUAGAGUAAAAAAUUUUCAACCCUGCAAAUGAGGAGAAUUUCUCUAUUUAUAGAGUUCACUGGUGGGCUUUAUGGGCUUAAACUUGGUUGGUCCAUGGACCAGACCCAUGGGCUCAACCAUAUGGAUUUAGGUUAUAUUUAGUCUUUGGGCUCAAUUAACCUUACUUUUGGGCUUAAUUAAACUUCGUCCAAGUAAAUAAUAUUUAAU